CGUGUGUCUCGAACCCGAGCGGUCCUGCUCCGUAGCCCAUCACUGAGCCCACUAGGCUAUGCUGUUGACUUGCGAGUAUCUCUUCGGAACUUCUAUACUAGCCUUGAGCAGCCGAUGCCUGUAAGCAGGAUCUGGGCAUGCGCAGUAUGGCGCGUGUUGUGCCGGCCUGUCACGUGCUCCAGACGGCUACGCAUGCGCAGGGGGUGCCGUGUCUCCGUCGCCCGCGGCGCCUUCGCGCUGCGUCGCGCCGUCCGCGGUCCUCUCGGUGGCUCCUCGCUCGCGGCCCUAUGCGUGGCUCCCGGCCUCCUGCCGCGCUUGGUGCGGUGUUCUAGAUUUUUUGCUCAUUUUAUUUGAAUCGUUCUAUCUUUUAAUUCGGUGUUUGAUAAAUCUUUAGGCAGACACUCAAAAUAAUAAAAAAUUGUCUUCCAAAAUAUCUC
rnacentral:lncRNA from 1 species